AUUGAACGCUGGCGGCAUGCCUUACACAUGCAAGUCGAACGGCAGCACGGGGGGUAACCCCUGGUGGCGAGUGGCGAACGGGUGAGUAAUAUAUCGGAACAUGCCCUGUAGCGGGGGAUAACGCGUCGAAAGAUGUGCUAAUACCGCAUACGCUCUACGGAGGAAAGCGGGGGUUUUCAGGCAACUGAGGACCUCGCACUAUAGGAGUGGCCGAUAUCGGAUUAGCUAGUGGCGGGGUAAAGCCCACCAAGGCGACGAUCCGUAGCUGGUCUGAGAGGAUGAUCAGCCACACUGGAACUGAGACACGGUCCAGACUCCUACGGGAGGCAGCAGUGGGGAAUAUUGGACAAUGGGCGCAAGCCUGAUCCAGCGAUGCCGCGUGUGUGAAGAAGGCCUGCGGGUUGUAAAGCUACUUUCAGUAGGGAAGAAAGCCGAGUGCUAAUAUCAC
rnacentral:rRNA from 1 species